CGACCUCAGAGUAGGCGAGAUUACCCGCUGAAUUUAAGCAUAUUAAUAAGCGGAGGAAAAGAAACUAACAAGGAUUUCUUAGUAGCGGCGAGCGAACAGGAAUGAGCCCAGCACUGAAUCCCGCGGUACCGCCGCUGGGAAAUGUAGUGUUCGGGAGGAUCCGUUUAUCCCGUGACGUCGAACUGCGUCCAAGUCCAUCUUGAAUGGGGCCAUUUACCCGUAGAGGGUGCCAGGCCCAAAGUGAACGCCGCAGUACGCGUUUCGGGAGGAUCUCUCUCCUUAGAGUCGGGUUGCUUGAGAGUGCAGCCCCUAAGUGCGGUGGUAAAACUCCAUCUAAGGCAAAUACUACCACGAGACUGAUAGCGAACAAGUACCGUGAGGAAAGUUGAAAAGAACUUUGAAGAGAGAGUUCAAGAGUACGACUGCGCGGCGGCUGUCGGUCAUCUGGUCUCAUCUGGUAGCGAAUGAUUGAGGCCUUGCCGAAUGUGUGACCCCACCUAUUCUCAAACUUUAAAUGGUGAGAUCUCUGGGUCAUUUGCUGGCGAAGCCACGAGAUUUUGGAUCAGAGUGCCAAGUGGGCCAAUUUUGUAAGCAGAACUGGCGCUGUGGGAUGAACCCAACGCAGAGUUAAGGCGCCUUAAGUCGACGCUUUUGGGAUACCAUGAAAGGCGUUGGUUGCUUUAAGACAGCAGGACGGUGGCCAUGGAAGUCGGAAUCCGCUAAGGAGUGUAACAACUCACCCGGGGAAGCAACUAGCCCUGAAAUGGAUGGCGCUGAAGGUCGCGCCUAUACUCCGCCGUCAGCGGCAAGUGAGGCACGUGAGGCUCGCGGACCGUCCUAUGUGAAGCCCUGACGAGCAGGAGGGUCGCGGCGGUGUGCGCAGAAGGGUCUGGGCGUGAGCCAAGCCGCCGUCGGUGCAGAUCUUGGUAGUAGCAUACUCCAGCGAGGCCCUGGAGGACUGACGUGGAGAAGGGAUGUGUGAACAGCCGCUUGCACACGAGUCAGUCGAUCCUAAGCCCUAAGAGAAAUCCAUGUAAAUGAGGUGUCCUAAGAUCAUGAAAUAUGAGACGUAGAAACACACCCAUUGGGCGAAAGGGUCCGGUUCCUAUUCCGGAACCCGGCAGCGGAACCGCAUACCAUUCGGGCCCUCGAAAGAGUGUUCGUCGGGGUAACCCAAAAUGACCUGAGACGCCGUCGUCCGGGAAGAGUUUCCUCAGGGAUAGCUGGCACUCGACCGUUUCAUCGAACGCGUACGAGUCUCAUCUGGUAAAGGAAUGAUUAGAGGCCUUGGGGCCGAAACGACCUCAACCUAUUCUCAACUUGAAUGGGUGAGAUCUCUGGCUUGUUGGAUCAUGAAGCCACGAGAUUUUGGAUCAGAGUGCCAAGUGGGCCAAUUUGGUAAGAACUGGCGCUGUGGGAUGAACCAAACGCAGAGUUAAGGCGCCUAAGUCGACGCUUAUGGGAUACCAUGAAAGUGCUGGUUGCUUAAGACAGCAGGACGGUGCAUUGGGCUAUGGAAGUCGGAAUCCGCUAAGGAGUGUAACAACUCACCUGCCGAAGCAACUAGCCCUGAAAAUGGAUGGCGCCAAAGCGUCGCGCCCAUACUCCGCCGUCAGCGGCAAGUGGGGAGGCACGAGUCCCGCUCCUCGGGCGGGACCGUCCUCCGCGAAGCCCUGACGAGUAGGAGGGUCGCGGCGGUGUGCGCAGAAGGGUCUGGGCGUGGAGCCUGCUCUGAGCCGCCGUCGGUGCAGAUCUUGGGUGGUAGUAGCAAAUACUCCAGCGAGGCCCUGAGGACUGACGUGGAGAGAAGGGUUUCAAAACAGCCGUUGCAGGCCAUGAGUCAGUCGAUCCUAAGCCCCAAGAGAAAUCCUCAUGUAAAAUGAGGUGUCCUAAGAUCAUACACACAAACAUAUAAAAAUUGAAAUAUGAGACCAGAACACACCCAUUGGGCGAAAGGGAAUCCGGUCUUAUUCCGGAACCCGGCAGCGGAACCGCAUACCAUUCGGGCCCUCGUAAGAGUGUUCGUCAGUAACCCAAAAUGACCUGAGACGCCGUCGAGAUCCGGGAAGAGUUUUUUCUGUAUAAAGCGUUCGAGUUCCCUGGAAACCCUAGCAGGGAGAUAGGGUUUGGAACGCGAAGAGCACCGCAGUUGCGGCGGUGUCCGGAUCUUCCCUCGACCUUGAAAUCCAGGAGAGGGCCACGUGAGUGUCGCGCCGGUUCGUACUCAUAUCCGCAGCAGGUCUCCAAGGUAGAGUCUCUAGUCGAUAGAUUAAUGUAGGUAAGGGAAGUCGGCAAAUUGGAUCCGUAACUUCGGAAUAAGGAUUGGCUCUGAGGAGCGGGGGCGUGUCGGGCUUGGUCGGGAAGCGGGUUUGGCUGACGUGCCGGGCCUGGGCGAGCUGAACGGGCGUGGUCUCGUACCUCGCACCCGGAUCCGAGCUUCCGGUCCCGCCUUGGCCUCCCGCGGAUCUUCCUUGCCGCGAGGUAUCUUAUGGCUCUGCCG